rnacentral:rRNA from 1 species
GUCGAACGGUAACAGGUCUUCGGACGCUGACGAGUGGCGAACGGGUGAGGGAGACAUCGGAACGUGCCCAGUCGUGGGGGAUAACUACUCGAAAGAGUAGCUAAUACCGCAUACGAUCUGAGGAUGAAAGCGGGGGACCUUCGGGCCUCGCGCGAUUGGAGCGGCCGAUGGCAGAUUAGGUAGUUGGUGGGAUAAAAGCUUACCAAGCCGACGAUCUGUAGCUGGUCUGAGAGGACGACCAGCCACACUGGGACUGAGACACGGCCCAGACUCCUACGGGAGGCAGCAGUGGGGAAUUUUGGACAAUGGGCGAAAGCCUGAUCCAGCAAUGCCGCGUGCAGGAUGAAGGCCUUCGGGUUGUAAACUGCUUUUGUACGGAACGAAAAAGCUUCUCCUAAUACGAGAGGCCCAUGACGGUACCGUAAGAAUAAGCACCGGCUAACUACGUGCCAGCAGCCGCGGUAAUACGUAGGGUGCGAGCGUUAAUCGGAAUUACUGGGCGUAAAGCGUGCGCAGGCGGUUAUGUAAGACAGAUGUGAAAUCCCCGGGCUCAACCUGGGAACUGCAUUUGUGACUGCAUGGCUAGAGUACGGUAGAGGGGGAUGGAAUUCCGCGUGUAGCAGUGAAAUGCGUAGAUAUGCGGAGGAACACCGAUGGC